GGUCGCUCAUGCCUGGCGACAAAGGGAUGGCUUCGUAGAUGGCGCUCAGGUCCCGCGGCCGCACGCCCUGCUCGCCCAGGAGGAACGUGUCAGCAGGUGGGGUUUCUGCCAGAGUCCGAAGCAAGCGGGCAGCAGGAGAAGCAGUGGGGCUUGGGGAGAGUCACCCUCUGGUCUCAUCAACAUCCAGUGGGCAUUUCAGUGGCCCAGGAUCCUUCAAAUUGCAGAUAUAAAGCAUCAGGACCCCACACCUGGGAUGGAAGCUUCUAGGAAUUAAUGAAGCCCCAGUAGAGUCUCCAAGGCAGAAAGUCAGGCAUCUUGGGUUUCUUCCCCAGAAAACUGAGAAGGCCAUGCUGUGACACCUCGUCCCCACCCCACAGGAGUCAGAGGAACCCCUUCCCCAGUUGGAAUUUGGCUCCUGUGAUGCUCCAAAAGGUCUCUCACCUCUGACACCUUUGUUCUGAGUCAUCAAAUCCUUUUGUGGUCACCAAACAGAGUCCCUCAGAGUAGGGGGCAGGAUCUGAGCUUCUCUCACAGGCCAGAGCAGGGAGAAGGGCUUCUGGGGGGUUGCAGGGAGUCCAUAUUCUAGUCCCACCUAAAAGCAGUGCCUGCCUCCUUAAUUCUGCACCGGGUCACAGAUCCCUGCCUGCUUCUCCCGCCUUUCACACAAAUGCUCUUAGAUUAAAUCUGUGGGAAGGGGGUGGGAGGGAAACAGGCCCCUCUCUGAUACAGGCCCUAAGUUUCAAAUUCCCCUCUUACUGGGCAGAUGGAGUUCCUAGAAAAGUUUUGGGAUAGUUUUCCAAAGGAAAUGUGCAGAAUGAGGAUGGGGAGGCGAGGACUCCAGAAAGACCACAGUAACAAGCCCUCUCUGUCCAAAAACAAGUCUCCUUGUAUCAAUCACUAGAAAUCAGAUCCAACAACUAAGCUAGAAUUCCCUCCCUUUCCCAGACAGUGCUCCCAAACAUGACCAUCUUCCUUGCUCACCACGCCCGAGCAGCAGAUAGGAAAAACAGAGGCCCAGAGAGGUCAGGCUAACAUCCUAGGGGUCACACAGCAUCGGAACCGCGAUUAGAACUCAGGAGUCUCUGGCGCCUCUUGGGAGAAUUGCAGCUGGAGCUCCCCCCUUGGCCCUGGAGACUCCAGUGGGCAGGGAGCUUGCGGUCCUGACCAGCUGGCGGUGGUGGCCCUGCGCCCUGGUGCCAGUGAGGCGUCUGGGUCUAGCAGUCACCUCUGGGCACUCCCUGGGUGGGAGGACAAGCUGGGAGGGGAUCCUAGGGGCAGGGGCAGGGGCAGGGAGGUGGCAGCUGCCGGUAGGGUUGGGGGAGAGAUAUUUUUAGAGGUGACUAGGAAGCCAGCACUCUGGCGCACCCCCGGCUGGCGGGCGCUGGGCUCCAAUGCGGGCGGGGGGUGCGCGGCUCGGGGAGGGGUAUUGUGGGUGGCAGGGAGCAAGGGGACACCAAUUCCUUGGCUUUGUCAGAGUCGGGGACGGAGGGAUACCCCAGCACUAUGUUCCUGGGUAGGAGAGAGAAGGGGACUCACUCCUGAGCUCCAGAACUCCCCCAGUGCCACGCGCGUGAAGGAGCGCCUUCAAACUCCACAGCCCCCACCCCGCGCCGGGACCCCAGCCCUCCCCUAUCUCCCGGAGCCCAGGACUCACGUGGGGGCGGCGGCAGCAGAGCCGCCGCGUCCCCUUUAAAUGCCCGGGAGCCGGAGCCGGAGCCGGAGCCGCGGCCGGCGCUGCGGCUGCUGCAGCAGCGGAGCCCACCGCAGUCCCCAACGUCACAAGCGACUGUCCAAUCGCAGCGGUGCCGGCGCACAUCAAAGGGGCGGGCCGCCCGAGGCCACGCCUCCCUCCUGCCCCGGAGGCUCCGGGAGCGCCAGCUAAGGGCUGUGGACUUUCUCAUCCGCCGCCUCCAGGGCUUCGGUUCUUGAGAUUUGCAGAAGUGCACCUCCACCUCCUGCCCAUUCCGCUGUCGCGUCCUAAACCCAGUGGGAGGCACGGGAUGACCCAGCCCUCGGGACCCUUUUCCCCAGAUUAUAGGUUACUGAGGAUUGCGGGGGUUGGCGGGAGGAAUGACUCCCUACCCCCACCCCCGCCCGUAAAGUUGGUGGAGCGGGUGGUGACAGACAGUUUGCCCCUUUUGCAGAUGGCCCUAUAAAUAAAAAACGCACUUUCUCCCCUGCUUCCUAAGAGUGUGUUUCUCCCCCACCCUAAUCUCCUCCUUUUGGCCCUCAAAGCCUGCUAGUGAAGAGAAGGAGAGAAGAUAGUGUUUCGAGAGGAAAGACGUGAAACUAGUAUUUACUGAGAACAUACUAUGAACCGGGCAUUCGAGCUAGGUCGCUGCGUUUAUGGCUGAAUGUUCACAACACUCGAGAAAUUAUUUGCCUAGCCGUUCAAACCCGGACACACCUGACUCCAUUGGGUCACAAAGGGGUGUGUAGGUGGGGAGAAUGCACUUUGGGAGGCCAAGGUGGGAGGAUCGCUUGAGCCCCGGAGUUCGAGACCAGCCUGGACAACAUAGGGAGACCCCAUCUCUACAAAAAAUUAAGAAAUUAGCUAGGCAUUGUGGCAUGUACCUGUAGUCCCAGCUCUACUCGGGAGGCUGAGGUGGGAGGAUAGCUUGAGCCUGGGAGGUGAAGGCUGCAGUAAACUGUGAUCACACCACCACACUCUAGCCUAGGCGAAAGAGUGAGACCCUGUCUCAAAACAAAACAAAAUAAAACAACAACAAAAAAGAGUGAGCUUGUCUGGGGUCACCCAGCUGGUAGGGCUGGGGUAUCAUACUGUCCCUCUCAUUGUCUGUCAUCCCUCCUCUCCUGUAAGCAACAUGAGGACCAUGUUUGUCUUAUUGAUGUACCCCCAUCCCCUAGCAUAGGCAGCCUGGCUGGUGCACAGUGGGCCUUAUAGAUGUUUGUUGAGUGAGGCCAGGUGCAGUGGCUCAUGCCUGUAAUCUCAGCA
rnacentral:lncRNA from 10 species